rnacentral:rRNA from 1 species
GUGAGGAAUAUUGGUCAAUGGACGAGAGUCUGAACCAGCCAAGUCGCGUGAAGGAAGACGGUUCUAUGAAUUGUAAACUUCUUUUGUGCAGGAAUAAAGUGGGUUACGUGUAACCUUUUGUAUGUACUGUACGAAUAAGGAUCGGCUAACUCCGUGCCAGCAGCCGCGGUAAUACGGAGGAUCCGAGCGUUAUCCGGAUUUAUUGGGUUUAAAGGGUGCGUAGGUGGAUUGAUAAGUCAGCGGUGAAAGUUUGCAGCUUAACUGUAAAAUUGCCGUUGAAACUGUCGGUCUUGAGUGCAAAUGAGGUAGGCGGAAUGUGUUGUGUAGCGGUGAAAUGCUUAGAUAUAACACAGAACUCCGAUUGCGAAGGCAGCUUACUGGGAUGCAACUGACACUGAUGCACGAAAGCGUGGGUAUCAAACAGGAUUAGAAACCCUGUAGUCC